CAACGAUGGUCCACUUCUAGGUUGUCCUUCUCCAUUGAUCCCUUUUGUUUCAUAUAUCAAUCCCCUAUCAACAUAACUUUAGUUAAAAAUAACCUAUGCCCUAAUUAUUUUAGCCAAAAACCUCUACUAUAGUUGGAAGAUUCUUCUCACCUACAGUCAUACAUAUGCAGCCUCUACUAUAGUUGGAAGAUUCUUCUCACCUACAGUCAUACAUAUGCAGCAUUCUCUCUUGGUGAUAAUUACUAUUAUUAUUUAUUAUAAGAUAAAAUCAUUGUAUUGUAUUUUGACUUAAUAAUAAGUUUUUUUUUUCGAAGUCUCAUCGUGUAGUUGAGAUAGUUUAGACGGAU
rnacentral:lncRNA from 1 species